rnacentral:rRNA from 1 species
GAUGAACGCUAGCUACAGGCUUAACACAUGCAAGUCGAGGGACCGGCGCACGGGUGAGUAACACGUAUCCAACCUGCCCUUUACUCGGGGAUAGCCUUUCGAAAGAAAGAUUAAUACCCGAUGUAAAGGAUGGGGAUGCGUUCCAUUAGGUUGUUGGUGAGGUACCGGCCCACCAAGCCUUCGCUGGAUAGGGGUUCUGAGAGGAAGGUCCCCCACAAUGGAGCUGAGGCACAGACCAAACUCCUACGGGAGGCAGCAGUGAGGAACAUUGGUCAAUGGGCGUUAGCCUGAACCAGCCAAGUAGCGUGAAGGAUGAAGGCUUAUGGAUCGUAUACUUCUUUUGUAUAAGAAUAUGUAUUAUAUGAAUAAGGAUCGGCUAACUACGUGCCAGCAGCCGCGGUAAUUC